rnacentral:misc_RNA from 1 species
GAUGAAGAACGCAGCGAAAUGAGAUAAGUAAUGUGAAUUGCAGAAUUCAGUGAAUCAUCGAAUCUUUGAACGCACAUUGCGCCCCUUGGUAUUCCGAGGGGCAUGCCUGUUCGAGCGUCAUUAUAACCCUCAAGCUCAGCUUGGUGUUGGGGCCUGCUGCACUGGCAGCCCAUAAAAUCAGUGGCGGCGCCAUCUGGCUCUAAGCGUAGUAAUUCUUCUCGCUAUGGAGUCCUGGUGGAUGCUUGCCAUCAACCCCCAAUUUUUCUAUGGUUGACCUCGGAUCAGGGAGGGAUACCCGCUGAACUUAAGCAUAUCAAUAAGCGGAGGA